rnacentral:rRNA from 1 species
UACAGAGGUCUCAAGCGUUGUUCGGAUUCAUUGGGCGUAAAGGGUGCGUAGGUGGCGGGGUAAGUCUGGUGUGAAAUCUCGGGGCUCAACCCCGAAACUGCACUGGAUACUGCCUUGCUUGAGUACUGGAGAGGAGAUUGGAAUUUACGGUGUAGCAGUGAAAUGCGUAGAUAUCGUAAGGAAGACCAGUGGCGAAGGCGAAUCUCUGGACAGUUACUGACACUGAGGCACGAAGGCCAGGGGAGCAAACAGG